GCACCUGUAGCUCGGUUGGCAGAGCGGUGGGACGGUACCUCACGGUCCCGAGUUCAAAUUCCGGCGGACGCU